GAUGAACGCUGGCGGCGUGCCUAAUACAUGCAAGUCGAGCGGACGGACGAGAAGCUUGCGUCGCUGAUGUUAGCGGCGGGCGGGUGAGUAACACGUGUAUACCCUACCUAUAAGACUGGGAUCACUUCGGGAAACCGGAUAUAAUACCGGAUGAUCUUUUGCACCGCAUGGUUCAAUGGUGAAAUUCGGUCUUUCUGUCACUUAUCGCUGGAUCCGCGCUGCAUUAGCUAGUUGUUAAGGUAAUGGCUUACCAAGGCAACGAUGCAUAGCCGACCUGAUAGGGGGAUCGGCCACAUGGGAGCGGGACCACGGACCAGAGGACUACGGGAGGGAGCAGUAGGGAACCUGCCGCAAUGGGCGGAAGCCUGACGGAGCAACGCCGCGUGAGUGAUGAAGGUCUUCGGAGCGUAAAACUCUGUUACGAGGGAAGAACAGAUGUGGAAGGAACUGUGGACAGCGUGACGGUACCUAAUCAGAAAGCCCCGGCUAACUACGUG
rnacentral:rRNA from 1 species